rnacentral:rRNA from 1 species
UACAGAGGGGGCAAGCGUUAUUCGGAAUUAUUGGGCGUAAAGGGCGCGUAGGCGGCUUGGCAAGUGGAUGGUGAAAUCCCUCGGCUUAACCGGGGAACUGCGUCCGAUACUGGAUGGCUUGAGUUCGGCAGGGGAGACUGGAAUUCCUGGUGUAGCGGUGGAAAUGACGCAGAUAUCAGGAGGAACACCGGUGGCGAAGGCGGGUCUCUGGGCCGAUACUGACGCUGAGGAGCGAAAAGCGUGGGGGAGCGAACAGG